GAGCCGGAGUCUUUUCAAGCAGGCGUAGGAAGCAAAUCGAAGCCAUGCAUCAGAUUCUUCAGUACUGCAGGUUGCCGCUUUGGUGACAACUGUCGCUUCAUCCACUACAUCCCGGGCGGCUACGUGGCCGUCGAGAAACUGGGCAUCCUGAGUGGCGCAGCUCCAGCUCUUCCACCAGCACAAGGCGUGGAGAAUCCCGGCAAGCAUUUGUCCAUGGACAACUCGACGCAACCACCCACAGAACCAACUCCUACCGGUGACCAUGCACUUCAAGCACAGACGGCGCCCGACCCCCGCAAGGAAGCGGUGGCGAGCUUCGGCGCUUCGUCGACGGCCAAGAUCAGCGUGGACGCGUCCCUCACGGGCGCCAUCAUCGGGCGUGGCGGAGCCACCAUAAAGCAGAUAUCCCGGGCCAGCGGCGCCAGGCUGCGCGUCCGCGACCACGACUGGGACGCCGACUUGAAGAACGUGGAGCUGGAGGGCACGUUCGACCAGAUCAAGAAUGCUUACGAUAUGGCCAUGGAGCAGCUGAUCCACGUUGUCAACCACGACGGCGGCGGUGCCCCUUCGCCUGCGGCAGGAGCAAAUACGACGUCUCACGGCGGCGGAUGGCAAUUAGACAGCUUCAAGACCAAGCUCUGCGGGCACUUCGCCAGGGGAUGCUGCACUCAUGGCGACGGGUGCCGCUUCGCCCACGGCAAGAGCGAGCUGCGCAGGCCGGUUCCUGCU
rnacentral:rRNA from 1 species